CAGCAAGCAGUGGCUAAGCUAACGACGGCGGCUGAUCACCCUCAUCAAUUUGAGUGAAGAAACACGAGCCAAUAGACUACGGACCAUCUUCGCAACAAAGACUGGAGCAGGACGUGUCACAGUGGUUUUGGGGUAAUGGACCAGGUUCCAGUUCAUCCAACAUGUUUGAUACACCAUCCGUAUGACUGUUUGAAUCCAUAUACCCCACAGUACAUCCACAACAUUUACAGGCGUCCAUCCCGUCCUGUGUUGUACUCAAGAUAUGCCAAGAGUUUCCUGAUCAGGCUGGACACUGCCAUGGCCUCGUGCUGCCCCUUGGCUGAAGUGAGAGACGUGUAAAGCAACCACUUCGUCCUUUUAGUGUC